rnacentral:rRNA from 1 species
GAUGAACGCUGGCGGCGUGCCUAAUACAUGCAAGUCGAGCGAACGGACGAGAAGCUUGCUUCUCUGAUGUUAGCGGCGGACGGGUGAGUAGCACGUGGAUAACCUACCUAUAAGACUGGGAUAACUUCGGGAAACCGGAGCUAAUACCGGAUAAUAUUUUGAACCGCAUGGUUCAAAAGUGAAAGACGGUCUUGCUGUCACUUAUAGAUGGAUCCGCGCUGCAUUAGCUAGUUGGUAAGGUAACGGCUUACCAAGGCAACGAUGCAUAGCCGACCUGAGAGGGUGAUCGGCCACACUGGAACUGAGACACGGUCCAGACUCCUACGGGAGGCAGCAGUAGGGAAUCUUCCGCAAUGGGCGAAAGCCUGACGGAGCAACGCCGCGUGAGUGAUGAAGGUCCUCGGAUCGUAAAACUCUGUUAUUAGGGAAGAACAUAUGUGUAAGUAACUGUGCACAUCUUGACGGUACCUAAUCAGAAAGCCACGGCUAACUACGUG